GGGAGCCGCUGCGGGUCUUUCCCUCACUCGUCCUCCGCGCGUCGCCGCUCUUCGGUUCUGCUCUGUCCGCCGCCAUGGCCCAAGCUGACAUCGCGCUGAUCGGAUUGGCCGUCAUGGGCCAGAACUUAAUUCUGAACAUGAAUGACCACGGCUUUGUGGUAAGCGGCGUGGGCGCAUGGUCUUCUCUCUGGUUCCCGGGCGCUUUAGCCGAGGCCGGCGAUAGGUUUGGGAGCUUACGGGUCCCCUGGCCGUGCUUUGCUAAUGUGCUCUGUUGCUGCUCGUGGCAUUUUUGUAUGGAAAGGAGAAGCACCCUGUAGGCGUGGGCGGGCCGAUCCCGAACUUAGUCCUGCGGAGUGUGCCUGUGGGUCGGUGAGGUUCACAGCCCGAAUGAACGAAUUAGUGUCUUAAGUAGAGAAGAAGGGUGCGGGAGGAGAACGCUUGCUGGCUGUGUAGAGCUCUAAC
rnacentral:sRNA from 1 species